rnacentral:rRNA from 1 species
GAUGAACGCUGGCGGCGUGCCUAAUACAUGCAAGUCGAGCGAACAGACGAGGAGCUUGCUCCUCUGACGUUAGCGGCGGACGGGUGAGUAACACGUGGAUAACCUCCCUAUAAGACUGGGAUAACUUCGGGAAACCGGAGCUAAUACCGGAUAAUAUAUUGAACCGCAUGGUUCAAUAGUGAAAGACGGUUUUGCUGUCACUUAUAGAUGGAUCCGCGCCGCAUUAGCUAGUUGGUAAGGUAACGGCUUACCAAGGCAACGAUGCGUAGCCGACCUGAGAGGGUGAUCGGCCACACUGGAACUGAGACACGGUACAGACUCCUACGGGACGCAGCAGUAGGGAAUCGUCCGCAAUGGGCGAAAGCCUGACGGAGCAACGCCGCGUGAGUGAUGAAGGUCUUCGGAUCGUAAAACUCUGUUAUUAGGGAAGAACAAAUGUGUAAGUAACGAUGCACGUCUUGACGGUACCUAAUCAGAAAGCCACGGCUAACUACGUG